CGGUAGUGGCGCCAGAGCCUUUGUCGCGUCAUCGUAAUUCUUCGAGUUACGUACCAGUUCAGUGUGACAUCCUGUACCCUUCCUUGCGGCAAAACAGCUAUCUUAGGAUGAACAGAUAGAGCUAUAAAACAAUGUCAGAAUCAGAGGCUCCUCCAGUUUCAGGCCCACCACCACCAGCACCAUAUGAUCACUUGACUGCUUCAUAUUCUAUGUUUUCUUCACUCCCAUCAUUUGAGGCUUCCAGUGAAGAUGAUAUAGACAGUUCACUUUUUGGGUGUAAUUCCAACAACAGUGCCACCAUGUGGCAGAACAAUUCAGAGAUCAACUGGCAGGAGCGUUGUUUUGAACUGGAAAUGUCUUUAGAACGUUUUCGUGAGCAAGCCACAAAAAUCAGAGAACUUCUAAGGAACAAGCUCGUUGAGCUUGAAACAAGACUAGAAGAAGCUGAACGUCGGGCAUCAGCUGCUGAAGAAAAGGCUAAACUAAUGGAAGAGUUGACAACUAUUUCUAAUUGUCAAAAGCAAGAUGAUGCAGCUAGCAACCAAUUCAACUCUUUGUAUGAUGAGAAAGACAAAAUUAUUUCAGCACUAAGACAAGAGCUUGAAAAGCAGAAAAACCUGAGAACUCAAGAGGCUCAGAAAGUAGAAGCCAAGGCUUCUAUACUUAAAACCUGGGUAACAAACAAGCUUAAAGAGAGGGAAGAGCAAAACAGACUUCUGUGGGAAGAAAAUCAACGAUGUAACAGAAAAUUGGAAUUACUGAAGAACCACCUUUAUGAAAUCCAGCAACACCAUACCCAAGAUUUAAAUACAUUCAAUCAUGACAUGGUAUUGCCUGAGGACAUGGAAACAGACCGAGAAGUGCUUAACACAGCAGGAGAACCAUUGGAAAGAAGACUAGAUGUACUAUCAUGGAUUAUUGAACAUGAUGGUGAAAAACAGGAAGUGGGCACUCUUCCACUGGAAGAUGCUCUGCCAAACUUUGCUAUGUAUGCCAAAGUAGAUCACUCUAAAAAAAAAUCAAAUAUAACUAAUUUAACAUUUUCACAGUAUAACAUCGUAGAAAAUCCACAAUAUUUUACUCCAACUGAUGAACUUGAUCAAGUUAUUGCAAGAAUGUGUGAUGUGGAGGUUGAUCAAGAUGCUAGAAUCCAACCAAGUAUUUCUGUAUGCACUAAAGAACCUGGACAUGCGCAAAAGCUUCAGUCAGAACAGAAAAUAAAGCCUAUUCCUCUUCCUCGGCAGAAAAUUGGACCUCUGAAUAAAGAGGAAGGAUCUCCUACUAGUCCUUUGAAUUGGUCCACUAACACUCCAGGAAUACAUGACCUAGCCUUAACAAUUCCUGAGACACCGAACAACACAAAUAAACUCUUCAAUGAGAAAAGUUGUGGUGUAGAAGGUGACAGGAGAAAGAGAGUAUCUGCAGAUAACGAACUUCAUGACUAUGCAGAAAUUUACACUCCCAGUAAUGAACUUCCUUAUUUGGCUACUGGAGAUGCAGUAGAAGAAGGUGAUCCCCCAAGUCCUCCAAAACAUCAAGUUCCACCAUGGGAAAGUAGAAUAUAUGAAAUAGCUGUCAAUGGAAUAAAUACCUUCAAGGAUGAAUGUGCCUCUAAAGGUUUGCCAAUAAACACAAUUAAGAUGUGUUCUAAUGGAGCAUUUACAGACAUAAGCAUUCCAGUCUAUGCUACAGUGAAAGGGAGACCAUCCCAGAUCCGAUCAGUUCCAUUCACUGGAGAAUCAUCGGAUUCUUCAGAUAAUGAAGAAGUCAGAGCUUCAUCACAGACUGUGCCUCUAGACUCACUUUAUGGAUAUAGAUGUCUGCAACGAGUGGGAAAAUCAAGCAGCACCCUUUCUCCUACACCAGUGAGACAUGCAACACCUAUCUCAGUAGUUCCACGGAAAUAUACUGCAACAGGGCUAGAAGAGUUGGUUCCAAGUGAUUAUACUAUUCCACCAGAAACCACAUCCACUGAUUGGACAAGUAAUGAUGCAGGAGAAGCUCAGAAUGUGAGAACAAGUGGAUCAUCAGGAAGUCCUAAAAAGGAAAAGAAAUCACUGGAGAAGAGUGGAUACCUAACAAAACUUGGAGGAAAAUUCAAAACAUGGCAAAGACGCUGGUUUGUUUUGAAGAAUGGAGCCCUUAGCUAUUACAAGACACAGAAUGAUGUCCACAGAAAACCUCAGGGCCAAAUUAUAUUGAAUGAAAUCUGUAAAGUGGAUCGAGCUGAGGGAGCAGCCACGUUUGAGGUUUCCACAGGAAAGAAAACAUACUAUUUGACAGCAGAUUCUGUUAGUACAAUGGAAGAAUGGAUAACAAUUUUGCAAAAAGUUUUGCGACGCAGUGCUUCAAACUUGAUGCUACGUAAAGAAGAAAUGCUAUUUCCAAACAUUGAGGGUUGGCUUACAAAGGUAGCACAAGGAGACUCACGCCACUGCUGGUGUGUUUUGAAUAAUCAAGUUUUAUCAUUUUUCAAGACCCCUAAAGAUACUAGUCCCAGUGGACAAAUCAACCUGACAGAUGCUCGUGUGCAAGCAGUCUAUCCAUCAGAUUCAGACAAGGAAGGCCUUGCUGGGGUAAUGGUAAAGUCUCAGUUUACAGUGGGCAUUUUCUUUGAACAUCAAGGACCAACUUAUCUUCUUAUGUCCACUAAGCAAGAGAUGGAUGAAUGGCUGUUCCACUUGACUGCUGUGUCUUCAGAGAAGCGUGUUGAGGGAACUUCAUAUGAACAACUUGUUGCUCGAUUGAUGGAUGUUGAAGGAGAACAGAAUAACGUCAUUUGGAGGCAUCCAUUGUUAUUGUACUCAAAAGAAAACCUAAGCCAGCCUCUAACGACCUUACCCACUGAACAGCUUCAAACUGAGGCAGGAAAAUUAUUUAAGUCCAUACAGUUGUUUACAUCUGUUCCUCUUGACGCAUCUGGCAUUGACUACCAUGUAGCUCUUGCCCAGAACACACUACAGCAGUGCCUAAUCAUCCCAGAAUUGCAGAGGGAAUUCCUUUGUCAACUGAUUAAGCAGACUUCACAGUGUAAAAAAGGAACACAACUAACACGAAGCUCUCUUCUGUGUAAUGGUACUUCCCAGGAUAAGGUUGUAAUACCAGGAUCCGAACAAAUUGUCCUAGAAGGUGGUGCUAUAGAUCCUCCACCAUACGUCUUUAUACAAGCUUGGCAACUUCUUGCUUUGGCAGUUUCAUUGUUUGUUCCUCUUGGUUCAACGUUGUGGCUUCUUCGUACUCAUUUUAAACGAAACUCUGACCCUAGUUGUGAAUCUGGGAAAUAUGCCAUCUUCUGUCAACGGGCCUUGGAGAGAACCUUGGAGAAUGGUGGACGAGAGUACUGUCCAUCCAGAAUGGAAGUACUCAGCAUUCUAGUCAAGAAUCCCUUCCAUCAUUCACAUCCUCACAGUAUUCCUGUACAUUUUCUUAAUGGAGCCUAUCAAGUAAUUGGGUUUGAUGGAUCAACAACAGUAGAAGAAUUUGUUCAGACUGUGAAUGCCCAAAUUGGGAUACGAGAAUUGGGACUCUCAAGGUUUUCUCUCUAUAGUGAUGACCCAAUUGAUCCAGAAGUGGAGCAUUACCUACAAAAUUCUCUAAAAAUUUGUGAUGUCAUUACAAAAUGGGAACAAGCCUUAAGGGAGAAACAUCUUGGAAAAUUUGAAACCACUAAAGCUGUUAGGUUAACAUACAAAAACAGAAUUUGUCUUCGUCAGUGUUUGAAGGGAGAGAAUGAGAAAGAAAAGUUAUUAACAGCCUUCCAAAUACAUGAAGAUAUAAUGCAAGGGAGGUUCCCUGCAAACAGUGAAUUAAUCAUGGAAUUAGCAGCACUUUUGGCUCAGGUAGAUUAUGGAGAUUAUGGUGGAGAACAUAUUCGAGGAAAUGGUGUUUCCACAAGGGAUCCUGAUGUUCAACUACAGCAGGUUGUAGAACGAUUUGUCCCUGUACGAUAUAGGGAGACAAGGAAUUUGAAAGAUUUCCAGGAAAAAAUAAGAGAGAAGUGGAGGAACAAAACUGGAAGAAGUAUGUUUGACUGUGUCCGAAUCUACUUGAAUAGUGUCAGGAAAUGGUCAUUUAGUGGUUCUAAACUUUUUAGUGCCAAGUUAAAGAUUGGUGAACCAAAAGCUGUGUGGUUAGCAGUAGGAGAAGAUGGUGUAGCAGUGUUAGACUUCACAUCCAUGAAACUAAAGCUCCGGUAUCCUUAUUCAGUGGUGACAACAUUUGGUGGAUGUCGAGAAGAUUUCAUGCUUGUUACUAGUAACUUUGGUACUGACAGUUUCAGUGAAACUUCCACUACAGAAAGAUUUCUAUUCUCAAUGCCUAAACCUAAGAUUUUGGAGAUAACUUUGUUAAUGGCGGACUACAUGAAGGUUAUACCUCUUACUCCCAGUCCGGUCCCUCCACAUGCUCUUACUGGGAAGAUUCAAGCUGCCAUUUCUGGCACAAUUUCUCCCACUCCUCAUGUAAUCAGUUGGACCUGUUGAACAUGUCAUCUCUAAUUAGACAACCUUUUACUUGAUUGCUUGGUCCAACAAGUAACUACUUUGAUUUCCAACUUUCACUGUUACGUCUUUGCUCACACUCAAUCCAUGUAACAACUUUAAUAAUCUCCUAUGAAGUAAUCAAUGAAUACUGGAAUUUCUGACCAUUUUACCAACACUGUAACCCAUGGGAUUACAAGUUGAAGCACUUUUAUCUCAGUAGCACCAUGGCAUGCAAGUGAAUGAGUUCAGGACACAAGAUCUAAAAAAAAGUCCGACUAAAGUACAAGCAUGACAAGGAUGAAUUGUACUUGAGCUAUACCAUGGAGUUUAUUUAUUUUGUGUGUAGAAUAGUUUUUGCAUCUUUGUGUAUUGCAAUAUGUGCCAUUGAGAAGUUUGUUUUUGAACUUGUAAUUAUGUUGUUUUGUAGCAGAACUUGUAAAUAAACUAUACAUCUCUAAGAA